rnacentral:rRNA from 1 species
GACAGAGGGUGCAAACGUUGUUCGGAAUUACUGGGCGUAAAGCGCGUGUAGGCGGCUAAGUAAGUCGGGCGUGAAAUCCCACGGCUCAACCGUGGAAGUGCACUCGAAACUGCAUAGCUAGAGUCCUGGAGAGGAAGGUGGAAUGCUUGGUGUAGAGGUGAAAUUCGUAGAUAUCAAGCGGAACACCGGUGGCGAAGGCGGCCUUCUGGACAGUGACUGACGCUGAGACGCGAAAAGCGUGGGGGAGCAAACAGGAUUAGAAAACCCGGGU